rnacentral:rRNA from 1 species
UACAGAGGUGGCGAGCGUUGUUCGGAUUUACUGGGCGUAAAGGGUGCGUAGGUGGUUUUGUGUGUCGGGUGUGAAAUGCCACGGCUCAACCGUGGAAUGGCAUUCGAAACUACAGAGCUAGAGUGCAGGAAGGGAGAGCGGAAUUCUCGGUGUAGCGGUGAAAUGCGUUGAUAUCGAGAAGAACACCGGUGGCGAAGGCGGCUCUCUGGAAUGUAACUGACACUGAGGCACGAAAGCUGGGGGAGCAAAC